AGAAAGUGGCAGUGUGUACAUUCUAUUACACAAAUAGUCCCUAACACCAGGAUGAUCAUGCUUAUAAAGGUAGCUGACAGCGAUCCACUCACAGAAGAACGCAGAAUCAAAGAAUCUAAUAAGCCAACCACUCUCUCCAAUAUCCUCACUUGUUGGGAUUGUCCGAGUUACCUCCCGAGGUGACUCGGCCGGCUCUCCUCUCGUCAAUCCCAAUAACCUCACCAUUGUCAAAUCAUCAUAACAAUCAUAAAACCCUAAAACUCA
rnacentral:misc_RNA from 1 species